rnacentral:lncRNA from 14 species
GUUUCUUCAGAACUGAUAUCAGCUGUUGUCAACUAAUCUGUUGCCUCCCUGCAUACCUGAGCAGCAAGAUGUGAACCUCGGGGAGACUGAAUGCUGAAGGAAAUGGGUCAGAAGCAUUGAGCUGCAUGGGGACAGAGUCUGGAUUCCCCAGCAACACCAUAAGUUCAGGAAAUUUCUUCUCUUCCUGCCUUGGGCAAAAAUGGAGUUAUGGAAAUGAAAAUAUGCACAUAAUAUUAAAGGAGAAAAUCUUUGUCCAAAAGGAAAUUAUAAAGAAUGCUUCAAAGAAUUACUGAAAGCAAAUGAAAAUUCUCUUUGAGAAGUAAAGUAUCCCCAGGAAGCAGUGCCAAUCUUGCAUGCAAGUCUGAAAGAUCAUGGCUACAGUCUCCUCUGCCAUCGGCUCAUGGGACAAGAAGCAGAGGGGCAAGUCCAGUAGACAGCUGAGCAGACGCUUAUAAAUAUAUUCAGCAGAAGAAAUGGAGAGAUGCCACUAAAGUACACGCUGAAGAACCUCGUGUUAGCCUUCUGCAAUGAAAACCAG